GUUUGUCUGUGGCCAGAUGGAUGGACAUGUCCACAAACCAGACAAGGCCCUCAAGUACUGCACAACAGCUGGACUAAGGAGCGUUGGGUAUUGCUGGUGAAGUCUUUGGAGAAGAAGAAGUUGGUCGUUGUGCGGCCUCUUCUCCCGUGCAUACCCACAGCAGUAUGACGCAGUCAUUUCCAGCAGACCUCUCACAUGCUGAAUACAGCUGAUGUUGUUUACAGCUCUCCUCCUCUCGUCUUUACACCUAUAGGCAGCUUGGCCUUUGUUCCACGUCUCCCUAGAUGUGUGUCCAUGUGAUGAAGCAGAAGAAGUGCCACUGACAUCGGGAACUGUUCCUUCGCCCACAUUCUGGAAGAAAGGGACGUCUGGACGUACAUGAAGAACAACAGCUUGAGGGACAUGCAGCAGAUGUUUGACAUGUGGCUCAGGCUGACCAGUCAGAAUAGACUCACUGAUGCAAGCCUUAUGGCCUUGCCUCUGGAGGAGAAAUGGGUUUCCCUGACGACAGAUUCCACUGAGUCAUUGAAGGAGGAGAUGUGUGAGUGUUUUCAGGCUGAGGCUGAGCCGCUCCCUGGAGCUGUGGAUAAGUGACCCUGAUCCCACUACACCAGAGACCAGCUACAGUACCUACCGCCUGUGACGAGAGUCUGAAUGCGAACACACACACCCCUUACAGAACGUAGAAAGGUGGAGAGUGAAAUAGGACAGAAAUUCCUAAUAGAGUUUACCCAGGAUCGGAUCCACUCUUUGUGUCUGUGGACUACACCUCUCCGUUCUUCGUGGCCUUUCUCAGCUGGAGAUCUGUUGGCGGAUUGGAUUGUCUGACUGACCGACUGACUACAACCUUUUUGUAUACGACUUGACGGACCAGAUGGGACUCAUCCCCUCCCAAACCAAAAGGAGAAACCAAUGUUUUCUCUGUCUGGCCAACACAACUCUCUCAACGUCUUGGUGACGGGACGUCACACGCUGUGGGGGUGGAAUCAUCUCAAGGACUUCAUCAAACUGAUACCAAUGGAUGUCGUCUCGAUAAGGCCAGUAAAAUCUGUUUGGUCCUACACGAUGCAUACAUUUCACUUGUACACAUGCCAUCCGUGCUGAGGAUGAUGCCUGGAUAAAGGUAAUCAAAUUCCACUACACACCACUGCCCAAGAACACCUGCAUUUCCCACACUGGAUUUCAUCCACAGGUUGUGGAUUUUCCUCAUUGGCUGGCUGUUCUGGAGCAGCCAGGACCUUCUGCCUGAAACUGAAGUGCUGUUGGUUAAAGCAUGCACAGUUUAGGUCCUUCUUUGUUGAACAAAGGCUGCUGACAUCACGAGACAUCAGCUCACCAGAAUUAAGGGUGAUGACCUGGUGUAGUCUCAUGGUGGAGGGCACCGCUUUUAUCGAGCUUGGCAUCAUCUCCAUCGCAUGUUCAACAUCUGGACUUUGUGGAGGAGUGGUCAAGUUCUUCAGUGUUCCUUUCCUCUCCUUGCUUCUUUUGUAUGCUCUUCUCCGUUGUUUACGCUUCUGACGCUGGUCUCUCACUUAAAUCACUGAUAUUUUUAUUUUUCCCUGAUUCAACAUUUCUUUUCCUUCGCUUUUUCUCAAGGUAUUGUUCCCUUUUUUUGACACUGCCUUUGUCUUUCUGCUGCUGAUGUGGGUGCCAUCAUUCCCUAGAUGGUUCAAUGGAUAACGUUAAAUCAAAGAUUCUUAGAAUAUAUACAUGUCUACACUAUAAUCCUUGAGUAAUUUAGGCUCUAGAGCGACUUAAAGGAACAACGGAAGUUAAGAGCCUUGCCCAACUCUCCUACCACUAGGCUACCUGCCUUUAAAAUAUAUGUUUUGCUCACAUUGAACACAUUACAGCAUGUUUCAUAAGUGAAUAUAAACCAUGUAUAAUAUAUUGAUUCAUUCAUUUGUUUAGAUGCAGUAAGUAACUCAACCCUGUCACAGGUUACAACCCUGUUACAAUGAAAUGUGAUGGUUUUUGGCUCAAAAUGGCCUCUGCUUCUCAUGUGAAGGACAGGAGACCACAUGGUGUGCAUGAAAUUAAUAGAUUGUAUAUUUUUAUGUGUUGAAAUAUAAUUUUGAUAGGUACUAGUUUUCCAUGUUUAUUUAAUGUAACGGGGUUGAGUUGUUCAGGUCGACGAUCCCCACCUGACUUUAAAAUAACAACAAAAUACAGAUAUAAAAGAAUGUGAUUACUUUCCUCUUUCUGUACCAUGCAGUUGAAAAUUGUUGAAUGAUGUCAGUUCCUGUUAAUGAUGGCACAUAAGGGUGGACUGACUAUUUUUUUAUAGGCAGAGUUUGGUAGGCCGUUGAGUGUAGACUGACGGACAGACUUAAAUUGUGUGAUUUCAAUCAAUAAUCAUGCAUUUAUUUGAUAAAUACUUACUCAACAAAAGAACACAUAUGUUUGCAUUAAUGGCAAAAGUGAUUAAUUAUGUGCACAUUUUAAUAUUAAUUUCCCAAGUAAAAAUAAUUAAGUGAAACAUGGCACAAUUCUUAGUCAGUUAAAAAAUAUGAUUUUUUAAAUAAUUAAGUUAAAAUGGAUGCUAUAUUUAUUUCAAUUCAUUAUACUGGACAUUUCAAUUUAUAUACAAAAUCUUUGAACAUUUUUAUUUUGGUGAUCCAAUACUUGAAAUAUAACAAAGUCAGAGGGGCUGCAAUAUUACCCGAGCCCAAGAAUGUCCCAUGUAAACUAAGCAACAACAAAAAGAAACGUCCUCUCACUGUCAACUGCGUUUAUUUUCAGAAAACUUAACUUAACGUGGAAAUAUUUGUAUGAACAUAAGAUUCAACAACAGAGAUGUAAACUGAGCAAGUUCCACAAACAUGUGACUCACAGAAAUGUAAUAAUGUGUCCCUGAAAAAAGGAGACGGGGUCAAAAUCAAAAGUUAGUCUGUAUCUGGUGUGGCCACCAGCUGCAUUAAGUACUGCAGUGCAUCUCCUCCUCAUGGACUGUACCAGAUUUGCCAGUUCUUGCUGUGAGAUGUUACCCCACUCUUCCACCAAGGCACCUACAGGUUCCCGGACAUUUCUGGGGGGAAUGGCCCUAGCCCUCACCCUCUGAUCCAACAGGCCCCAGACAUGCUCAAUGGGAUUGAGAUCCGGGCUCUUCGCUGGCCGUGGCAGAACACUGACAUUCCUUUCUUGCAGGAAAUCACGUACAGAACGAGCAGUAUGGCUGGUGGCAUUGUCAUGCUGGAGGGUCAUGUCAGGAUGAGCCUGCAGGAAGGGUACCACAUGGGGGAGGAGGAUGUCUUCCCUGUAAUGCACAGCGUUGAGAUUACCUGCAAUGACAACAAGCUCAGUCCAAUGAUGUUGUGACACACCGCCCCAGACCACGACGGACUCACUUUUUUUUUUUGUCCAUUUUUAAAAUAACAUAAAAUUGAUCAGAAAUAUCCUAUGUAGAUAUUGUUAAUAUUGUAAAUGACUAUUGUAGUUGGAAAUUGACUUUUUUUUUUCAAAUGGAAUAUCUACAUAGGCGUACAGAGGCCCAUUAUCAGCAACCAUCACUCCUGUGUUCUAAUGUCACGUUGUUAGCUAAUCCAAGUUUGGCAUUUUAAAAGGUUCAUUGUACAUUAGAAAACUCUUUUGCAAUUAUAUUAGCAGAGCUGAAAACUGUUGUUCUGAUUAAAGAAGCAAUUAAACUGGCCUUCUUUAGACUAGUUGAGUAUCUGCAGCAUCAGCAUUUGUGGGUUUGAUUACAGGCUCAAAGUGGUACAUGCAUACAUACAGUACCAGUCAAACGUUUGGACACACCUACUCAUUUCAGGGUUUUUCUUUUAUUCUUACUAUUUUCUACAUUGUAGAAUAUUAGUGAAGACUUCACAACUAUGAAAUGUUGUGAUAUCCAGGAAUGUGGGUUUGUGUUACUAUAAAUGUUGGCUUUCAAUUAAAAUCAUAAGGUUAAAUUAAAAACAGGACACAUCCAAGGUCACUUGCUCGAUGAAUGGUCAUGUAGUAACCAAAAAAGUGUUAAACAAAACAAUAUAUUUGCCUUGAUGACAGCUUUGCACACUCUUGGCAUUCUCUCAUCUGGAGUGCAUUUCAAUUAACAGGUGUGCAUUGUGAAAAGUCAAUUUGUGGAAUUUCUUUCCUGCGUUUGAGCCAAUCCGUUGUGUUGUGACAAGGUAGCGGUGGUUUACAGAAGAUGGCCCUAUUUGGUAAAAGACCAAGUCCAUAUUAUGGCAAGAACAGCUCAAAUAAGCAAAGAGAAAUGACAGUCCAUUAUUGCUUUAAGAUAUGAAGGUCAGUCAAUACAGAACAUUUCAAGAACUUUGAAAGUUUCUUCAAGUGCAGUCGCAAAAACCAAGUGCUAUGAUGGAACUGGCUCUCAAGAGGACCGUCACAGGAACGGAAGACCCAUAGUUCCCUCUACUGCAGAGGACAAGUGUGCUGUAAACAAACAAAGGCUUGUCACCUCUGACCGCUAUCUUUAGAAGUGUUCAAUGGUUAAUAAUAAUGUAUCUCGCCUUGUGCUUAGAGAGGAUUGGAGGAAAGAACAGUGGUCUGACAUGAUGGUAUCAAUACCCACAGAGAGAACUGCAUUUGAUCAUGACUGACUCAUUUGUUUUGGUUUAAGAAGUGGCUUUGACCCCAAAAAGCAUAGUCAGAUGUGAUUUAUUUUUUCCUGUUAAUCUUUUCAAGUAGAAGUCCGAAUACAUGCUUGUAAACCUCAGUUCACACCAUUUUCCCUGUAUUAAAAGAAGAAAAAUAUGUGUGAAUUGACAUGCACACCCAUAUCCACACGCACAAUUUGCUGAUAUCAAUUUAAAUUUUCGAUCAGAGUUAUGGAUUAUUUUCAACAACAUGGAAUAGGAACCAGAAUUAUAAGAAGUGAAAAAAACAAGGCCUCUUUUUGUACUGUAUUUUUACAUUUGUUGUUUGUCUUAGUUUUUACCUUUUCUCACCGUGGUUUGAAGUGAAUUAUGACCACAAUCUCUC
ensembl:lncRNA